UACGAAGGACCCAAGCGUUAUCCGGCUUUAUUGGGUUUAAAGGGUGCGUAGGCGGGUUGUUAAGUCAGUGGUGAAAGCCUUCAGCUUAACUGAAGAAUUGCCAUUGAUACUGAUGAUCUUGAGUAUGAUUGAGGUUGGCGGAAUGUGUCAUGUAGCGGUGAAAUGCUUAGAUAUGACACAGAACACCGAUUGCGAAGGCAGCUAACUAAGCCAUAACUGACGCUGAUGCACGAAAGCGUGGGGAGCAAACAGG
rnacentral:rRNA from 1 species